ACUGAACGCUGGCGGCAGGCCUAACACAUGCAAGUCGAGCGGAUGAAGGGAGCUUGCUCCUGGAUUCAGCGGCGGACGGGUGAGUAAUGCCUAGGAAUCUGCCUGGUAGUGGGGGAUAACGUCCGGAAACGGGCGCUAAUACCGCAUACGUCCUGAGGGUGAAAGUGGGGGAUCUUCGGACCUCACGCUAUCAGAUGAGCCUAGGUCGGAUUAGCUAGUUGGCGGGGUAAAGGCCUACCAAGGCGACGAUCCGUAACUGGUCUGAGAGGAUGAUCAGUCACACUGGAACUGGGACACGGUCCAGACUCCUACGGGAGGCAGCAGUGGGGAAUAUUGGACAAUGGGCGAAAGCCUGAUCCAGCCAUGCCGCGUGUGUGAAGAAGGUCUUCGGAUUGUAAAGCACUUUAAGUUGGGAGGAAGGGCAGUAAGUUAAUACCUUGCUGUUUUGACGUUACCAACAGAAUAAGCACCGGCUAACUUCGUG
rnacentral:rRNA from 1 species